AUGACCACUUUUGGCGUCGAUUUUGGAGUUGCGGGAGGAGUUGCUGUUGCUUUGGCUUUCGGCGUUUUCACUAUCAUUCAGGCCAAUGGGCUCUUUGCUGAAUGUGAAGUUAUCUGCCGUAAGUUCUGGAUCAGUAACUGCAACACAAACCAAACAAAAGAAUUGAAGAGGCUAAUACAUAUUAAUCUCAAAGGUCUUUUUGCCAAAUGCAUCUAUGGAGCCAUGCCUCCCAGCUGACAGUGCUUGAGAGCUGACAAGUGGAAAAUGAAAAGUUUUGGAUUAUCUGCAGGCUGAUUGUUGAAAUGGACCACUAGACAAGGUACGAAUUUAAGCAUUCUGAUACAUGUUUCUUAACCAGAAUUUCACGUGGAGCACGAUUCGCGCAACGAAAACUAAUGAAACAAACUCCAAACGAAGAUAUUAACGUUUUUAUUUCACAUUGGUUACGAGGAAUUUGAACUGCCUGCUGACAAAAAACUCAAAGCUCUACGUGAGUCAAAUCGCGCACUACAAAGGUUGCAACAAGCUUCUCAAUCGAGUAAUGUUCAUGUCCCACCAUGUGUUGUUCAAACUAUAAGCAAUUUGCUACAUCUGAGCCGAAGCGUCAAGAUUGAGGUUGCCAGAUUUUUAAAUCGCAGAGACUGUCAUGAUAACGUUUAGCGCACGAUGUGAAUCACGCAAAGCAUUGAGUUUUCAUGAGCGGGUGGUUUGAAUUCACGCAUCAAGAAUCAUUAAAUAUCUUUAGAAGGAGUUGAUUUCGGUAAUUUUCGUUGUGCGCGUCGUAUUUUAUGUGAAAUUUAGUUAAGAAACAUAUAUCAGAAUGCUGAAAUUCGUACCUUAUCUAGUGGUCCAUUGGUAGACAAAGCGAGAGACCAAGAGGACAAAAGGGAUAUGGAGGGAUUCUGUUGAUGUAAGCGGGUGGUUGCGAUGGACAAAGGAAGUAGGUAAUGAACUAACGGCAACCGAUGAGAGACCCUAUAGUUGGUCCAUCAUUUAUUCUCUUAAUCCAUAGGAACCACCCAUUUCAACCAAU
rnacentral:lncRNA from 1 species